GGCUGAAGAUUUCGUCAAUGGCGCUGUCAGUUCCUAUCCAAACACCUCCUCACCGACGCUGCUCUCUCCUCCACUGCUUCGACGACUCCAAUGGCUGCCUCAACUACUUCUCUCUCCAUUUCUCUAUUGUUGUAACUAAGCUCUCAGCUCAUCUCAAUUUGUCCCCCAGUAUGGGGUGUUGUGACUUUCUUAGCCCUCGGAAAUGGAGCUCCGGACGUGUUUGCAUAUCGGUCACCGGUGUUUGCGGCGGCCAAUUGAGGACUGGGUUUGGUGCGAUUGUCUGCCGCCACCCGUUUUCCCUUCACAAAAUAAAAUCUGAACUUGUGUUUCCGGUGAUUUGUGAAAUUUUUUUCUAGGGUUUGGGCGAGGGGUGCGGGUUUGGUUCAAUCGGAAACCCAAACACCAGCUAAGACACCAUACUUGACGUGUUUUGACUUCACCGGGAAACCAAUCGUCGUUCACUCACCGCCGGGUGCUUAUACAGAGCCGAUUCCACCUCUACGCUGCUCAAAUUAUCGCCGUUACUGAUGAUUACAUCCUUCGAUCGGUCUUCGAUUCAUUCUAGGCCGAUGCCGGAAUUUCGUUCAAUCGGUCUUUGAUGGGUCGUUGUGGUUGAUACCAAAGAUAGCCAUGGACGGCGAGCACGAAGUUUUCGAAUUGUAGGUUUGGUUUCAAUGUGGGUUUGUUUGCAGUGAAGGUGGCUGCCAAUGGAGCGGUGGUGGCCUUUGUUUUAAAGAGCAAUUAAGGCUAAGGAUUUUGAUAUCCGGAGAAAGAAGAAGAAGAACAAGUAUAAUAACAAGAAGGUCGAGUGGAUAGCGGCAGAGGAGUGGUGGUGGCCACAGAUUCGUUCGAGCUGGAGCUGGAAGUGAAGUAAGUCCGUCGCCGAGUCAACUCGGACUCGAUAUGGUUUGCUAUGAGGCCAAUAAUUUGCGAGCGAGCUUCUUUGCGGAUUAAAGAUCGAUGAGUUUGGGAGGGUUUAAGAGAAAAGUGUCACAUCAGUUGAGGAUGAUGGAUUUGAGGGCGAGAUUGGGAAUGAGAUUGGAAAAAUCAGGGGUAGAGCCGUCAGAGAGAAUGGGUUUGAACCCUAAAGUUACGCUCGAAGGUUUGGCCAGAGGAGAUAAUGACAGGUCGACCAUUAAAGACCCAGAAAUUAGGCAGAUAAACUCGUUGAGAGGUUAUUUUUUGAUGGUGUAAACACUAAAAUUUUAGUGGACUUUGAUUUGGACAAAUGGAUCUAUUAAAUAUGGGCCUAAUGUCUAAUUAAGUUAUUUAAUUGGCCUAAAUUUGGUCCACUUAAAUUAUUUAAUUAAGCUCAGUUCAGAUGGUUAAAUAAAAAGAAUAAUUAUUCCUAAUAAAAUAUAUUUGGAAUAAUUAUUUUUAAGGAUAAUUAUCAUAAUAUAUCCGGCCCGGCCCAGUUAUGAUAAUUUUCUUAUCAGAGAGGACACGUGUCAUCAUCCUAUGGAUCCAAGAAACCUAUAAAUAGAGGCCUGGAGGAAGGGAGAAGGGGUACACACAAAGUCAGAAUUCAGAAAUCUAGAAUUCCAGAGAAAAAUACAAAAACUCUCAUUCUCAACAUCCAAACCCAAAAGCGAAGAACACUAAACAUCAAAUGGUGCCGUUCUUCACCAAAUUCCAUGGUGAUCAACAACAAGCACAGCCAAAGACGUGCCGUUCUUCACCAAAUUCCACGGUGAUCAACAACAAGCACAGCCAAAGACGUGCCGUUCUUUAUUAAAUUCCACGGUGAUCAACAACAAGCAUAGCCAAAGACAUGCCGUUCUUCAUCAAAUUUCACGGUAAUUCAAGAUCAAGCCUGUGCAGCCCUUGAAUCCAACCAACCAACAAAAAAAAAUAGAUUUAAUCAGAGGACCAGUUCUUUCUUUUGUAAAGAAUAUUACAGAGGAUUGUACCUCAAUUUUUCAAAUUAAUAAAAUUAUAUUAUUUGCUCCAUGUUUUGUUUCUAUUGCAGACUUACAAAAUUUGUGUAUACAAAUGGACGACGAAGAGCGGUGAAAGGAGAUCUUCCAAGUCAUAAGCAAAAGAAAAACAGUUGUAUGCCCUUGAAAGUGAAAUGACUUUAGGUCUCGUAUACUCCAUUGGCACGGGAUUUACUUCUGAACUGUAGGACGAGACGGAGUUUUUGGUGGUGUAGAUUUUAACGCUUCUUGCUGGAAUCUCUCGCGUGAGGAUCAGUUGGACGUGUCCUGGACUUAGAGUAGGAGUCAACACUGGUUUACCUAACUCUUAAAAGAUUUGAAUUAGGAGUGGUUGGUUAACUAUUUUCAUAGAAAGGGGAAUGC